UACGGGGGGGGUAAGCGUUGUUCGGAAUUACUGGGCGUAAAGGGCUCGUAGGCGGCCAACUAAGUCAGACGUGAAAUCCCUCAGCUUAACUGGGGAACUGCGUCUGAUACUGGAUGGCUUGGAUCCGGGAGAGGGAUGCGGAAUUCCAGGUGUAGCGGUGAAAUGCGUAGAUAUCUGGAGGAACACCGGUGGCGAAGGCGGCGUUCUGGACUGUUACUGACACUGAGGAACGAAAGCCAGGGGAGCAAACGGG
rnacentral:rRNA from 1 species